rnacentral:rRNA from 1 species
AUUGAACGCUGGCGGCAGGCCUAACACAUGCAAGUCGAACGCGAGGGGGACGGGAGAGUAUAGUGUGGGAAACUGCUAGAGGGUGGGGGAUAACCACUGGAAACGGGAGAUAAUACCUCAUACUAGCGGAUGGGCCGAGAGGGGAGUAGUUAGUUGGUGGGGUAUAGGCUCACCUAGGCGACGAUCCAUAGCGAGUCGGAGAGGAUGAGCAGCCACACUGGAACUGAGACACGGUCCAGACUCCUACGGGAGGCAGCAGUGGGGAAUAUUGCACAAUGGGCGCAAGCCUGAUGCAGCCAUGCCGCGUGUAUGAAGAAGGCCUUCGGGUUGUAAAGUACUGUCAGCGGGGAGGCGUUACCCGCAGAAGAAGCACCGGCUAACUCCGUGCCAGCAGCCGCGGUAAUAC